GGGGAUUUAGCUCAGUGGUAGAGCACUUGCCUAGCAAGUACAAGGCCCUGGGUUCGGUCCCUAGCUCCG
rnacentral:tRNA from 1 species